rnacentral:rRNA from 1 species
CAGUAGCCGCGGUAAUACGAAGGGGGCUAGCGUUGUUCGGAUUUACUGGGCGUAAAGGGCGCGUAGGCGGACUGAUAAGUCAGGGGUGAAAUCCCAAGGCUCAACCUUGGAACUGCCUUUGAUACUGUUUGUCUUGAGUUCGAGAGAGGUAAGUGGAACUGCGAGUGUAGAGGUGAAAUUCGUAGAUAUUCGCAAGAACACCAGUGGCGAAGGCGGCUUACUGGCUCGAAACUGACGCUGAGGCGCGAAAGCGUGGGGAGCAAACAGGAUUAGAUACCCCGGUAGUCCCUGUCUCUUAUAC